rnacentral:sRNA from 1 species
UGUCCUCCCCGUCCGGCACGUGUGGAAAGCUUCGACCAAGGUUCGAUUCGAGCGCAGCGAGAAAGCGUUGCCGCAGGCAACGACCCGAAGGGCGAAGCGCGCAGCGCUGAGUAAUCCUUCCCCCACCACCA